UACAGAGGGGGCAAGCGUUAUUCGGAAUUAUUGGGCGUAAAGGGCGCGUAGGCGGCUUUGCAAGUGGCGGGUGAAAUCCCUCGGCUUAACCGAGGAACUGCCUGUCAAACUGCAUGGCUUGAGACCAGGAGAGGUGAGUGGAAUUCCCAGUGUAGCGGUGGAAUGCGUAGAGAUCGGGAAGAACAUCAGUGGCGAAGGCGGUCUGCUGGGCCGUUGCUGACGCUGAGGCGCGACAGCGUGGGGAGCAAACAGG
rnacentral:rRNA from 1 species